rnacentral:lncRNA from 1 species
GCAAUCUCAGCUUGUUUUUGCAUAAAAGUUUCUUCCAGGUUUAAGCAAUACUGAUGUUUCUUAAAGUAAGGAAAUCGAAGGGAAACGGGUAAUUUUUAGCCAAUGACUGAGAGAAAAAGAUCGGCGGGGGCUGCGCCCCUACCCCUAUCAAAGGGGGCUCAAUCGGCGGUCCCCAAACCCCUGCCUCCCCUGAAUUCGAACCCUAGUUACGGCC